AGUGACAGAGCUACCGCCUGUCACAAGCGUGAGUCAGAAUUAAAACAAAUGAAGAAAGAAGUGAAUUGCCAAGUUAUUGAAAGUUUACAAUCUAGUUUACUAGCUAAAAUAUUUUAUAAAUCUUAGUGAACUAUAUGAAAUUGAAAGGUAAUCCUAUGAAUUAUGAACUUAUACAAACUGCUGAUAAAUUAAUGCUAUUUAGACUAAGACUAUUGACGACACGAACUUACGUAAUCAGCACACCGAGACUGUUAACCUAUAUCUAAUCUUGUAUCGAAUCCGCUUACCCACUAAAAACCAACAAGGUUGACCCAAUCACCGGAGCUAAAAUACGAUAGGGAAACUAAACGUAAGUUGACUAUUUACUAUUCUAAUGUGGAUUUCAUUGCCUGAAUCAGUGAAUCUAAAACUAUUUAUACUACAACUAUGCGCUAAAUCGAGUUAUUAACAAUUCCGUUCUUAAACUUUGUGUUAUUCCAUGCAGGGAAUUUAUAAACUCCCAAUAAAAGAGCCGUGAAUACAAAUUGCUCUGGAGCUUACAGAUUCGAAAAAUCCCCCUAUCAGUCCGGUAAAACGCUAGUCGAAGCGAAUUUCGACAAUGAUGUUCGCGUCGAAUCCGGUUGGUACAAGAAAGCGUGGAGCACAGCGAGCGAGGUGGUUUGAUCAAGUGCAACAAGAUCUGGAGAGCGUGGGUUGAAAUCGAAGUUGGAGGGACAAAGCCAUAUACCGUGACAUGCUCUAUUACCGUGAGGUUAAAAAAAUUCAAGUUUCAAUCGAUCAGAUAAAAAUAACGUAUGAUUAUGUUCAAGUCUUUUAUGUUUUAUAUAGUAGACCGUUUUAUAUACUUUGCAUAAAAAAUAUGAUUUGAACCAUUUUGAAAAUUUUAACCAUAGUUACAGUUGAUGUUGUUAAACAUACCAGUGUUCCAAAUACCGUGCAUCUGACCCCGACUGCUGAGUCACAUUUUGAAACAUCUCUCAAUUGAACGAAC